rnacentral:rRNA from 1 species
UGGGGAAUUUUGCGCAAUGGACGAAAGUCUGACGCAGCAACGCCGCGUGGGUGAUGAAGGUCUUCGGAUUGUAAAACCCUGUCGUCAGGGACGAAGGUAUGGUUCUUAAUACGGAUCAUGCUUGACGGUACCUGGAGAGGAAGCCCCGGCUAACUCUGUGCCAGCAGCCGCGGUAAUACAGAGGGGGCAAGCGUUAUUCGGAAUUAUUGGGCGUAAAGGGCGCGUAGGCGGUUUUGUAAGUAGGAUGUGUAAUCCCCGAGCUCAACUUGGGAACUGCAUCCUAGACUGCAAGGCUAGAGUGCUGGAGAGGGUGGUAGAAUUCCACGUGUAGCGGUGAAAUGCGUAGAGAUGUGGAGGAAUACCAGUGGCGAAGGCGGCCACCUGGACAGCAACUGACGCU